rnacentral:rRNA from 1 species
CCACGGGUGGCUGCAGUGGGGAAUAUUGGACAAUGGGGGGAACCCUGAUCCAGCCAUGCCGCGUGUGUGAAGAAGGCCCUCGGGUUGUAAAGCACUUUCAGUGAGGAAGAACGCCUGGUGGUUAAUACCCAUCAGGAAAGACAUCACUCACAGAAGAAGCACCGGCUAACUCCGUGCCAGCAGCCGCGGUAAUACGGAGGGUGCGAGCGUUAAUCGGAAUUACUGGGCGUAAAGCGCGCGUAGGUGGCUUGAUAAGCCGGUUGUGAAAGCCCCGGGCUCAACCUGGGAACGGCAUCCGGAACUGUCAAGCUAGAGUGCAGGAGAGGAAGGUAGAAUUCCCGGUGUAGCGGUGAAAUGCGUAGAGAUCGGGAGGAAUACCAGUGGCGAAGGCGGCCUUCUGGACUGACACUGACACUGAGGUGCGAAAGCGUGGGUAGCAAACAGGAUUAGAUACCCGGGUAGUC